UGGGGAAUUUUGCGCAAUGGGCGAAAGCCUGACGCAGCAACGCCGCGUGGAUGAUGAAGGUCUUCGGAUCGUAAAAUCCUGUCGUCAGGGACGAAGGUUACGGUGUUAACAGCGCUGUGACUUGACGGUACCUGGAGAGGAAGCCCCGGCUAACUCUGUGCCAGCAGCCGCGGUAAUACAGAGGGGGCAAGCGUUAUUCGGAAUUAUUGGGCGUAAAGGGCGCGUAGGCGGUUUCUUAAGUGAGAUGUGCAAUCCCCGAGCUUAACUUGGGAACUGCAUCUCAUACUGGGGAGCUAGAGUACUGGAGAGGGUGGUAGAAUUCCACGUGUAGCGGUGAAAUGCGUAGAGAUGUGGAGGAAUACCAGUGGCGAAGGCGGCCACCUGGACAGUAACUGACGCUGAGGCGCGAAAGCAUGGGUAGCAAACAGG
rnacentral:rRNA from 1 species